GACGAACGCUGGCGGCGUGCUUAACACAUGCAAGUCGAACGAUGAAGCCUAGCUUGCUAGGUGGAUUAGUGGCGAACGGGUGAGUAAUACGUGAGUAACCUACCUUUAACUCUGGGAUAAGCCUGGGAAACUGGGUCUAAUACCGGAUACGACCAAUCUCCGCAUGGGGUGUUGGUGGAAAGCGUUAUGUAGUGGUUAUAGAUGGGCUCACGGCCUAUCAGCUUGUUGGUGAGGUAACGGCUCACCAAGGCGACGACGGGUAGCCGGCCUGAGAGGGUGACCGGCCACACUGGGACUGAGACACGGCCCAGACUCCUACGGGAGGCAGCAGUGGGGAAUAUUGCACAAUGGGCGCAAGCCUGAUGCAGCGACGCCGCGUGAGGGAUGACGGCCUUCGGGUUGUAAACCUCUGUUAGCAGGGAAGAAGAGAGAUUGACGGUACCUGCAGAGAAAGCGCCGGCUAACUACGUGCCAGCAGCCGCGGUAAUACGUAGGGCGCGAGCGUUGUCCGGAAUUAUUGGGCGUAAAGAGCUUGUAGGCGGUUUGUCGCGUCUGCUGUGAAGGCCGGGGCUUAACCCCGUGUAUUGCAGUGGGUACGGGCAGACUAGAGUGCAGUAGGGGAGACUGGAAUUCCUAGUGUAGCGGUGGAAUGCGCAGAUAUCAGGAGGAACACCGAUGGCGAAGGCAGGUCUCUGGGCUGUAACUGACGCUGAGAAGCGAAAGCAUGGGGAGCGAACAGGAUUAGAUACCCUGGUAGUCCAUGCCGUAAACGUUGGGCACUAGGUGUGGGGGACAUUCCACGUUUUCCGCGCCGUAGCUAACGCAUUAAGUGCCCCGCCUGGGGAGUACGGCCGCAAGGCUAAAACUCAAAGAAAUUGACGGGGGCCCGCACAAGCGGCGGAGCAUGCGGAUUAAUUCGAUGCAACGCGAAGAACCUUACCAAGGCUUGACAUAUACUGGACCGCACCAGAGAUGGUGUUUCCCUUCGGGGCUGGUAUACAGGUGGUGCAUGGUUGUCGUCAGCUCGUGUCGUGAGAUGUUGGGUUAAGUCCCGCAACGAGCGCAACCCUCGUUCUAUGUUGCCAGCACGUUAUGGUGGGGACUCAUAGGAGACUGCCGGGGUCAACUCGGAGGAAGGUGGGGAUGACGUCAAAUCAUCAUGCCCCUUAUGUCUUGGGCUUCACGCAUGCUACAAUGGCCGGUACAGAGGGUUGCGAUACUGUGAGGUGGAGCUAAUCCCUAAAAGCCGGUCUCAGUUCGGAUUGGGGUCUGCAACUCGACCCCAUGAAGUCGGAGUCGCUAGUAAUCGCAGAUCAGCAACGCUGCGGUGAAUACGUUCCCGGGCCU
rnacentral:rRNA from 1 species